rnacentral:rRNA from 1 species
UACGAAGGGGGCUAGCGUUGCUCGGAAUCACUGGGCGUAAAGCGCACGUAGGCGGCUUCUUAAGUCAGGGGUGAAAUCCUGGAGCUCAACUCCAGAACUGCCUUUGAUACUGGGAAGCUUGAGUCCGGGAGAGGUGAGUGGAACUGCGAGUGUAGAGGUGAAAUUCGUAGAUAUUCGCAAGAACACCAGUGGCGAAGGCGGCUCACUGGCCCGGUACUGACGCUGAGGUGCGAAAGCUAGGGGAGCAAACGGG